UAUACCUGUUGUAUUCAGCAUUUCACUGUAAGGUCUACUACACCUGUUGUAUUCAGCAUUUCACUGUAAGGUCUACUACACCUGUUGUAUUCAGCAUUUCACUGUAAGGUCAACUACACCUGUUGUAUUCAGCAUUUCACUGUAAGGUCUACUACACCUGUUGUAUUCAGCAUUUCACUGUAAGGUCUACUACACCUGUUGUAUUCAGCAUUUCACUGUAAGGUCAACUACACCUGUUGUAUUCAGC